rnacentral:rRNA from 1 species
CUACGGGAGGCUCCAGUGAGGAAUAUUGCACAAUGGAGGAAACUCUGAUGCAGCAACGCCGCGUGGAGGAUGACGCAUUUCGGUGUGUAAACUCCUUUUAUGAGUCAAGAAAAUGACGGUAGCUCAUGAAUAAGCACCGGCUAACUCCGUGCCAGCAGCCGCGGUAAUACGGAGGGUGCAAGCGUUACUCGGAAUCACUGGGCGUAAAGGACGCGUAGGCGGGAUAUCAAGUCAGGUGUGAAAUCCUACAGCUUAACUGUAGAACUGCACUUGAAACUGGUAACCUAGAGUAUGGGAGGGGGAGAUGGAAUUAGUGGUGUAGGGGUAAAAUCCGUAGAUAUCACUAGGAAUACCUAAAGCGAAGGCGAUCUCCUGGAACAUAACUGACGCUAAGGCGUGAAAGCGUGGGGAGCAAACAGGAUUAGAUACCCCGGUAGUC